AGAACGAACGCUGGCGGCGUGUUUAAGACAUGCAAGUCGCACGGGGCAUUUCCAGUAUUUAUAUUGGAGAUGUUCAGUGGCGCACGGGUGAGUAACACGUGAAUUACAUGCCCUUCAGUGGGGAAUAGCCCAGGGAAACUUGGAUUAAUACCCCAUGGUAUCGCAAGAUUAAAGGUGGCCAGCAAUGGCUGUCGCUGAAGGAUUGGUUCGCGCCCUAUCAGCUUGUUGGCGGGGUAACGGCCCACCAAGGCUACGACGGGUACCUGGUCUGAGAGGACGAUCAGGCACACUGGAACUGAGACACGGUCCAGACACCUACGGGUGGCAGCAGUCGAGAAUAAUUCACAAUGGGGGCAACCCGUGAUGGUGCAACGCCGCGUGGAGGAUGACGGUCUUCGGA
rnacentral:rRNA from 1 species